UUUAGGAUAUAAAAUAUUUAAACUUGAGUAGUAGUAGUUAUGGUCUUGAAACUUAAAGAAUUUGGCGGUAUUUUAGUCUAUUUAGAGGAAUCUGUUUUGUAAUCGAUAAUCCACGUUGGACCUUACUUAAUUUUAUUAAAUAUGUAUACCGCCGUUAAAUUUAAAUCUUAUUAGAGUUAAUAAUUUAUUUAAUAUUUAUUAGAAAAUGUUUCAGGUCAAGGUGCAGUUUAUAUUUAAGUAUAAAUGGAUUACAAUUUUUGUAUGAAUAAUGAAUUAUUAAUUGUAAAUAUUAAUAUGAAGGUGGAUUUAAUAGUAAUUUUAUGUAGAUUGUUAUUUUGAUUAUGGCUCUAUAAUAUGU
rnacentral:rRNA from 1 species